rnacentral:sRNA from 1 species
ACAUUUGAGUGGUCUACUGCUUUCUUCUGUGGCUUGUUUCAAACAAAUACGUAUUCUAUUCACGCGUCGGCAUCACUCGGUGGCUUGUGUAUUUAUCACAUAUUUAAACUGGUGACUGAUUCUUUACAGGAUAUAACUUGAACAAUAGAGACAUUUAACCACUACAAUAGACUUCAAGCCCCAGAGGCUUUGAUAAA